UGUUUAUUUGUGAGUAUAUGAAUUGUUUUUGUUUCUUCGAGUGUUUGUGAUGUGCUAUGCUGUAUCGAUCUGUAAAAGGUGGUUGAGUUCAUGACAGAUUUAUUACUUAAAUUAAAUAAUUACAAAUAAUAAUCAUCCAAAUAAAUUUUACAUGCUCAAUGAGGUGUCAUGAGAAAAUUGCGCGAUGAAAUAUGGAAAAUCGAUUGAAACUCUCGACAGUCAUAUUGAAUAGGUACAAUGAGAACAGCCCAUCAUUUAAGCCAUGAGGUGCCUACAGCGCUGACAAGCGAUCGGAGCGUGCACCGAGUAGUACCAACGUGCAAGUAACACGUAUAAUAAUAUAAUCGAUGUUUACUAAAUGAAAUGCAACAAAUGUCUUCUUAUGGUUAUUUUACUUGUUCGCUGUAAAAGCAUUGCGAUUAGGAAAGCGAUGCCAAUCUGUUAAUGGCUGCUCUAUGUAAUUUCUUUAUUUAUUUCUGUUCUUUCCAAAUCAUCAAAUGUCUCAAAAUAUAUGCUAAAUGAGGAGAUUAUUUCGCAAAUGUCGUGAUAAAAAUCUCAUUUACAUAGCAAAAAUAAGUUGUAGAAGCAAGUAUUUACUGAUAUUUUCCAUAUCUCCAUAUCUAUUCUG